UCAUGCUGUUUUUAGUUUGGAAUAAAAGAGAUGGUUUUUUUUAAUGUAGUCCCAAAAUCCUGGCUGAAGGGUUUAAGUUAUAUAAGAAUCCAUAUAUCUUUUACAACAAAACUUUCACAUCUAAGUUUUGGAACACUAGGAGAAUGUCCUGUCACCAAUCCUAUGCAAGGGUCUAAUGUUACAAAGAUGGUGAACCUCGUCAUCUCAGGAGUUUCAAAGUCUACUGAUAUUUAAAAUAUGGAAAUCAGAUGAAGUCCUUAUUUCUAGCAUUGGCGGUAAUUAGAACCCAAACUGUUUCCAGUACAUCGUAUUUCCUUCUUUAAGGAGUCUUAGAUUAGAAAGAACUUUUGAAAAACAUCCAAGACUUUGCUAUUAUACAACUUAGAGUGCCAUUUUACAACUUCUCCAAUUCUGGUCUCUAUUUUUAAAAAUAGCCUUUGAACCUAUGAUAGUCAUAUACCAUUCCCUCUUUAGAAAGCUGUUAACUUGUGAGCAGUGUGUAAAAUGUCAUUCAGUGCAAAACAUCGUUCUGCUUUUGAAAUGGCAAAUGGAAGGUUUAGACUGAACAAACUCAAUUACUUGGGGUGAUCCCUAUUCUUUACUUGAGUGGAAGAUGGCUCUAAGGCAGAGAGAUUCAUGUUCAUUCCAAGAUGCAAGCACUGCAAGACGACAAAAUUAUUUGGUGCACAACACAGCAGUCCACAAAUACUUCUCCACAUCCCUGGCAGGUAGAGUGCCAUCAAUUAAAUAACUAUUGAUCCAAUGUCCUUUUAUAAUAGCUCUGCUGCCAGGGCUGAUGGGGUGUGGGGGGGCUCUGCCUGAAAUUUAAAUACAAUUGUCUCAUCAAGAGUUUUGAAAUGCUGAGAUUGAAACAGUUCACAUAAACGCAAAGGUAUCGGCAGAAAGCCUCAAUGCUGCUUGACUGAUGAAAUGUGUACUGCGGCAUUACAACAGGAGCCUCAGAUUUCAUACCCACCUUGCAACAUUCACAUCUGUAAGUUUGCACUAAGAUGUCAGGAUGCAUGUUUCACUGGGGCCCCAAAAUUUUGCUUUGAAAAUAUGAUUUCUAAUAGAUUUAAUCCAUACCCUCAACAUGAGUUUUAUUUGGUUGUAGUUUAACUUGUGUGAAUGCAGCUGCUUGUGUAAAUACAGCUGCUCUGUUUUGUGAUUAUGUUUUAUAGGUUAAUCUUAUGUGACAAUCCAGCCAUUGUGGCUAUUGAAAAAACUGUGGUUAGUCAUAGAUUCAAGAAAUUGAGAACUGCCACAAAAUCUUGCAGAAUAGCUUCAUAACCAGUCAGUUUCUAUUCUGGGUUUUAUUCAUUCUCCCCAAGCUGGAUACUUCCUUCCUUCCUCCUCCUCCAACUGGUAUUCUGGUGUUUGUUUUUUCCCAAGCUACCAGUCAUUUUUCUGUGACUAGAGAGCAUGCUCAAAUAUUCUUGGUUUGUUUCUGAGACAAAACUGCCCCUUCAUUAGUAUCUGCUUUUGCCAAACCCUUCAUUUCUGCCAGGAUGCUAAACAAAAUCCAUCUUUUACUAUGACUCCAUUUUUGUUGGCACACCUCACCUGGUUGUACAAUGAAAGAAAGCGGUAAUGAAUUCCCACUUGUAAAAGUUAAAAGCUGGUCCUUUGGUCAGUACAAGUUUUACAAGUCUUUUUUGCCAAGGAAUUACAGGAAAACUUGCAAUCCUGCAUAUUGUACAGCCUCUCGCAUUGCAAUGAAUCGAUUCAAAUGUAGGGAUGACUGCAUCACAAAUGCAAAAAAUUGUUAAUGUACAUUGUUUUGGAAAUCUUGUAUGCUGUCCCGAGUUUCUUGGAAAAACAGCAGAAUAAAAAUGGUGAGGGAGGGAGGACCCCACUCAUGAAAUGUGGGUAAGCUUGUUGCAGGUUAUAGAUAAGCCAUGAUCCAAUAUUGUCCCCUAACCAGCUUUUGCAAAGGUGAGAAAGCAAGUUUCUGAGCAUGGGUUAAAGGCAACACCAUCGCACCUUUCUCCUCCUGAGGAGCAAUCCUACUUGGAGCUGAGUGCCAGGGACAAAUACACACAUGACGGCAGCUUUCAAAUCCUUCUGCUAACCAGACAUGGAUGGCGCCACGGCAUUACAUUUCAGAAACUGAAGCAAUAACAACCAACAGACGGGCCUGGUAGCCGAUUGUCCGUCGUGCAUGGUCGAAUGUCCCAUUCAGUCUCCUGGCUGCCACCUUUUGCAGAAGUUGCAGCUUUCGUACCAAGAACAAGGAUGUCGCCUUUAUCGGGGAUGGUUCAAUCCAGUUUGGGUGAAUCGCUCAGUCUGUGAAAAUGGACCUUGCUUUUCAAGAUAGUCUUGGUGACAUCAACAGCGCUAUGGCUUCUCCCUUCCUGUUGCAACACAAGUACGAAGUUUCUCAUCAUAGCUUUCGCCUGAGCCUUUACAUCAAUUUACGAGAAUACUAGAAAUUCAGGAUGUGACUGUGUAAAAAAAAAAAACAAAGAAAAAAAAAACCAAAGUGGUGCUAAAAGACAUCAAAAGUAGGUGUCUCAGAUUUGGGCUGCAAAAAUAAUCUGGUUAACCAGGAUCAGAAGAAUCUAAUUUUUUCCCCUACCUGGUGAUCAUCUGAAGUUUUGAGAACCCAGUUCUGCUAGACCUACCAAAGAGUAAAUUAUAGGAAUUUGGGAUCAGUUGGUCAGGGCAUGUUUAGAGUUGGGAAAACUUAGCAAAGAGAUCUGUCUCUCCAUCAUCUAACCCUAACCCUAACCAAAAACUAUCUACUAUUGACCUCACCCCAUUCCUAAAAGGUCUGUAAGGGGCGUGCAUAAGAGCACCAACGUGCCUACCGAUCCUGUCCUAAUGUUCCCUUUGAUUGUA